AUAAAAUCUUCACUAAAAAGCAUUUCCACUAUCAUCCAUUAUCAUUCCAUUAUCCUCAAGCUUGUAUUUCUCAUGGAAUCAUACCCAGCAGUGCUCAAAGAUCUCUCCUGAAGCUCAGGGG